AACAUGUCUAUAUACACAUUAUAUUAUUAUUAUAUAUGGGUAUAAUGUGGGAGGUAACAUGUAGAUAUAUACACAUUAUAUUAUUAUUAUAUAUGGGUAUAAUGUGGGAGGUAACAUGUCUAUAUACACAUUAUAUUAUUAUAUAUGGGUAUAAUGUGGGAGGUAACAUGUCUAUAUAUACAUUAUAUUAUUAUUAUAUAUGGGUAUAAUGUGGGAGGUAACAUGUCUAUAUACACAUUAUAUUAUUAUUAUAUAUGGGUAUAAUGUGGGAGGUAACAUGUCUAUAUAUACAUUAUAUUAUUAUUAUAUAUGGGUAUAAUGUGGGAGGUAACAUGUCUAUAUACACAUUAUAUUAUUAUUAUAUAUGGGUAUAAUGUGGGAGGUAACAUGUCUAUAUACACAUUAUAUUAUUAUUAUAUAUGGGUAUAAUGUGGGAGGUAACAUGUCUAUAUACACAUUAUAUUAUUAUAUAUGGG